CCACCCACGGGGGUGCAGAGCGAGCCACCCGGGAGGCAGCUUUGGACUCUGCACCCUGGGGUGGGGUGUGUGCCGCCUGCUCCCGGCGGGCUUAGUCCUCUGCCGUCCAUGGAAGGGGCCAGGCCCCCAUCGCCCGGAGACCAGCUGGAGCUCUCGGUGCUCGAGGGGCAGCCGGACGAGCAGACGCCUCUCAAUGGAGCCGCUCAGGUUGUCCCCUUUUCGGCAGAGCAGCCCCGUCCAGCCCAGGAGCCCCGUCCAGGCUCGGCUGAACGGAAAAGCCCUUGGAGCUCCUGUAAUAGGACUUUGUGUGGGAAGUGUAAAUUGUGGAUGGCCAUCGCCUUUAUUUUCCUAGGUCUCAUUGUAGUGAUCAUCAUAAGCUUAUGUCUUAUUGGAGUAACUUACAUCGAUGAAGAUGAAAAUGAAAUACUUGAGUUAUCAUCAAAUAAAACAUUCUUGGUCAUGCUAAAGAUUCCAGAGGAGUGUGUUACUGAAAAGGAAUUGCCUCACCUGCUCACGAAAAGGCUCACAGAUGUGUACAGCUCAUCCCCAUCUCUGAAUCGUUAUUUUACUUCAGUGGAAAUAAUGGACUUCAGAGAGGAAAAUGCCACAAUAACCUACCACCUGCAGUUUGGGGUUCCAUCGGAAGAUGACAGUUUUAUGAAGUAUAUGAUGAGUGAGGAGUUGGUGCUGGGCAUUUUGCUACAGGAUUUCCAUGAUCAGAACCUGUCUGGCUGUGAGACUCUGGGGCUUGAUCCGGAGUCCCUGUUGCUCUAUGCUCUGGCCUUUCUCUCCAUCUCUCCUCACUUCCUUCCGAGUCCUCCCUUAGAGAUGCACUAGCUUUCCUUAGCCCCACAGGCCAACCGUCUUGGGCAUCUCAUUUUCUCGUGGACCACCCAUCAGAAACACUCUCUGCACAUGAGCAAUAAGUAACAGUGGAAUGAAUGAAAAAGGCAAAUAGAAGGAGACGUGUAGCACCAGGCACGGUGCCAGCAGCCCAGCGUCAGGAGAGUGAAACAGAGGUUAUAAAGCACUUGUAGGACUUCAGCACGAGAGCGGGCGCUGAUCAUGAUGGCUGAAGAGUGAAGUGGUUGAGGCCGGUCUGUGUCUGAAGCAGUGUUCCCUGAGCUGUGGGAUGAAGAUAACUCAUUCUUUUUUACAGAAAAGAUACUGUGAAUUAACUGGAAGGAUUUGAAAUGACGAGAGGGCUAGGCAUGGUCCUUUUUCUCCUGAUUGUGCACAGUAAGACAUCCAGCAAAACAGCAAGAGCUGCCCUGGUCCCACUGGUGGUAGAAGCAGGAAGCCAGAUGGGACAAGGGUGACCGAGUAGCAGGGUGAACCUUCCAGUGUGAAGUCACUGCUAUUCUUGAAGCGCUACCUGUCCCCACAGCCAUGUGGACACUUUCUCUUCAGUGCUGGGGUAGACUUUCGGGCAGGAUCCCGCCAGCCUGUGUUGUUGGAGAGGUGGCAGCAGGUGAGGGAGAAUUGAGCCAGUGGCUCACUGAAAUCCCUCUCCUGCUCAACAUUAUAUUUAAUCUACCUCUAAGCAAGCCUGUGAGGAUAGGGAGGGCAUUUAAGCCCAGAGCAGCAUGGUUAUGUGUCUACCUUCAUGACCUGUAACUGCAUUUCUUAGCAAACCAGCUGUAGGCACAUCAUCCAAUGUCACUGUGUUAUCAGUAGCUACAGAAAGGAAAUGUACAUUUUAAAAUUAUUUUGCAUCUCCUCAUUGUUCCUAUGAUUCCUGAACACCUCUUUUAAAAACAUAAUUCCCUGUGAGUUUUGAACACUUUGCUCUCAUUUUGGAUAGUUUUUCCAUGUAUAUUUUCACAACCUUCCAUCAGGGAAUCGUUAAGAACCCUAACCAUCUGCUAGAACUAUUACACAAGUGCUUUUCAUGGUCCAGUGUUAUGGCCUUCUAGUAGGACUCAGUGUCUUCAGGCAUUGAUCAUAGAUCUGAUGAAAGAUAGUUUUGAAACAGGAAGAACCACUCUCUGAAACAGUUAUAAGAUUAAUGACAGUUCACUUACAGGGUGGGAGAAUAUUGGUAACUGACUCGGUCAUUUGCCUGUCAUGAGGGAUCAGAAUUAUUUGUUUUCUCAGGGAAAUUGCUGGGAAUUUUCCAGGAGAAAGAGUUUGUGGUCCUAUAAUGAGAGCUCCUUAGCCUAAUAUCUCAGUUAGGUUGACCUUAGGUGGAAGUUAGUAUGGGGGACAGCUGUGUAUGGGGGUGUGUCUGAGUCUUGUCUCAGGUAGAUUUGCCUUAAGCUCUUUAGGACCCAGGACUCUGGAUAAUGUGAAAACUUUCCUUCUUAUUGAACUAGAAGAUGCAUUCAUUGUAACGCUGUCUCAUUUUGAGGAUAGUUCCUCAAACUAGCAAAACAGGUGAAUUAUCCUUCUUCCUCUUUAUUUUUUAUAUGUCAAGUGUAAGCUUUAAUGUAUUUGUACUUUUUAGAAAAUAAUGAAGACUUUUCAUGGAAAAAGAUUUAAAAAUAUUUACAAUAAAUUAUUUUUGCCCUCUG